rnacentral:rRNA from 1 species
CCUACGGGAGGCUGCAGUAGGGAAUAUUGCACAAUGGGGGAAACCCUGAAGCAGCAACGCCGCGUGGAUGAUGAAGGUUUUCGGAUCGUAAACUCCUGUUGUUAGAGAAGAUAAUGACGGUAUCUAACGAAUCAGCAUCGGCUAACUCCGUGCCAGCAGCCGCGGUAAUACGGAGGGUCCGAGCCUUAGUCGGAAUUACGGGGCGUAGAGAGCGCGGAGGCGGGUUUGCAAGUCAGAUGUGAAAGCCUAUGGCUUAACCAUAGGACUGCAUUUGAAACUGUUAGUCUUGAGUACGGAAGAGGUAGGUGGAAUUCUUUGUGUAGGGGUAAAAUCCGUAGAGAUCAAGAGGAAUACUCAUGGCGAAGGCGACCUGCUAGAACGUAACUGACGCUGAUGCUCGAAAGCGUGGGGAGCAAACAGGAUUAGAUACCCGUGUAGUC